AACAGCAGCUCUUCCCGCAAACCAGCCCGGCCGGUAUCACACCGCCUCCUGCCUCGUCCAGGCGGCAAUGAGACACGGAAAGACUCUCUGCCAGGGCUGGGGGGUCCAGAGGCGAAUCACGAGCCCUGCCCACAGCGAGCUUGCAGUCUAGGGGUCAAGACAGAAUUGUCCACAACCAGCGGUAACACAGGCUAAUGCAGCCAGGUGGAAGCAGGGACUCCGGUGAGAAGGUCACAGUGGCCACGGAAAUGAUCAGAAUUACCUUUUAUUGAUGCCUGCUAUCAUCCUCACAACAAGAUGUGGCACCCAUGGGAUUUCGAAGAACCCUUCACAGACUUGCCUCCAAGACCCACUCGACAGCCCUGUGAG